UACCAGCACCCCGAGUGGUUGGGACGAUUAUUGGGCCUAAAGCAUCCGUAGCCGGUCCUACAAGUCUUCCGUUAAAUCCACCUGCUUAACAGAUGGGCUGCGGAAGAUACUAUAGGGCUAGGAGGCGGGAGAGGCAAGCGGUACUCAGUGGGUAGGGGUAAAAUCCUCUGAUCCAUUGAAGACCACCAGUGGCGAAGGCGGCUUGCCAGAACGCGCUCGACGGUGAGGGAUGAAAACUGGGGGAGCAAACCGG
rnacentral:rRNA from 1 species